CGGGGGGAGCAAGCGUUGUUCGGAUUUACUGGGCGUAAGGGGCGCGUAGGCGGCCACCGCAAGUCGACUGUGAAAUCUCCGGGCUUAACCCGGAAAGGUCAGCCGAUACUGCGGGGCUAGAGUGCAGAAGGGGCAACUGGAAUUCUCGGUGUAGCGGUGAAAUGCGUAGAUAUCGAGAGGAACACCUGCGGCGAAGGCGGGUUGCUGGGCUGACACUGACGCUGAUGCGCGAAAGCUAGGGGAGCGAACGGGAUUAGAUACCCCGGUAGUCCUAGCCUUAAACGAUGAAUGCUUGGUGUCUGGGGUUUUAUAGUCCCCGGGUGCCGUCGCUAACGCUUUAAGCAUUCCGCCUGGGGAGUACGGUCGCAAGACUG
rnacentral:rRNA from 1 species